rnacentral:rRNA from 1 species
UAGGGAAUCUUCGGCAAUGGACGAAAGUCUGACCGAGCAACGCCGCGUGAGUGAAGAAGGUUUUCGGAUCGUAAAACUCUGUUGUUCGAGAAGAACAAGGACGUUAGUAACUGAACGUCCCCUGACGGUAUCUAACCAGAAAGCCACGGCUAACUACGUGCCAGCAGCCGCGGUAAUACGUAGGUGGCAAGCGUUGUCCGGAUUUAUUGGGCGUAAAGCGAGCGCAGGCGGUUUCUUAAGUCUGAUGUGAAAGCCCCCGGCUCAACCGGGGAGGGUCAUUGGAAACUGGGAGACUUGAGUGCAGAAGAGGAGAGUGGAAUUACAUGUGUAGCGGUGAAAUGCGUAGAUAUAUGGAAGAACACCAGUGGCGAAGGCGGCUCUCUGGUCUGUAACUGACGCUGAGGCUCGAAAGCGUGGGGAGCAAACAGG